rnacentral:rRNA from 1 species
CCUACGGGAGGCAGCAGUAGGGAAUAUUGCUCAAUGGGGGAAACCCUGAAGCAGCAACGCCGCGUGGAGGAUGAAGGUUUUAGGAUUUUAAACUCCUUUUGUUGGGGAAGAUAAUGACGGUAUCUAACGAAUAAGCACCGGCUAACUCCGUGCCAGCAGCCGCGGUAAUACGGAGGGUGCAAGCGUUACUCGGAAUCACUGGGCGUAAAGAGCGCGUAGGCGGGAUAAGAAGUCAGAUGUGAAAUCCUAUGGCUUAACCAUAGAACUGCAUUUGAAACUGUUAUUCUAGAGUAUGGGAGAGGUAGGUGGAAUUCUUGGUGUAGGGGUAAAAUCCGUAGAGAUCACGAGGAAUACUCAUUGCGAAGGCGACCUGCUAGAACAUAACUGACGCUGAUGCGCGAAAGCGUGGGGAGCAAACAGGAUUAGAUACCCCUGUAGUC